CUGGCGGCGCGUUUAAGCAUGCAAGUCGAGCGGUAAGCCGGAGCAAUCCGGCCUAGAGCGGCGGACGGGUGAGUAACACGUGGAUAAUCUGGCCUACAGUUUGGGAUAGCCUGGUGAAAGCCAGGAUAAUACCGGAUACGACGGUUUGGUCACAAGACUGAAUCGGGAAAGGGGCUAAGGCCUCGCUGAAGGAUGAGUCCGCGUCCCAUUAGCUAGAUGGUGAGGUAAAGGCCCACCAUGGCGAUGAUGGGUAGCCGGCCUAAGAGGGUGAACGGCCACAUUGGGACUGAGAUACGGCCCAGACUCCUACGGGAGGCAGCAGCUAAGAAUCUUCCGCAAUGGUCGAAAGACUGACGGAGCGACGCCGCGUGAAUGAAUGAAGGCCGUGAGGUUGUAAAGUUCUUUUCUGGAGGGAGAAUAAGUGUUGUAGGGAAUGACAACAUGAUGACGUGAAUCCAGGAAUAAGCCCCGGCUAACUACGUGCCAGCCGCCGC
rnacentral:rRNA from 1 species